rnacentral:lncRNA from 1 species
ACUUAGAAACUUUUCGUUAGGGUGCCAUUUUUGGUUUCAUCCUUUGUUAUCAUCAAAAUCAAGGAAUCUGUUGUAUCACAAUUUUUGUUCUUACAUGAACUUCUUCUUUAAUCUUCACUGCCAUAUCGGGAUGAGUUCUUCUCAGCUUCUGCUUCACAGGCACACACUCAGGCUUCAAAGGCAAGAAGUGUUGCACGAUAUCAGUAUCCAGACCAGGCAUGUCUUCAUAUGACCAGGCAAAGACGUCGACAUAUUCUCGUA